rnacentral:rRNA from 1 species
GACGAACGCUGGCGGCGUGGAUUAGGCAUGCAAGUCGAACGGUAUCAUCCUUUCGGGGGUGAGAGAGUGGCGAACUGGUGAGUAACACGUAGGUUAUCUACCCUCAAGACGGGGACAACCCAGGGAAACUUGGGCUAAUACCGGAUGUGAGCAACUUUUAGUUGUUUGAAAGGUGGCGUAAGCUGUCGCUUGGGGAUGAGCCUGCGUCCUAUUAGUUAGUUGGUGAGGUAACGGCUCACCUAGGCAAUGAUAGGUAGGCGGCCUUAACGGGUGGUCGCCCACACUGGGAUUGAGAUACGGCCCAGACUCCUACGGGAGGCAGCAGUCGAGAAUAGUCUACAAUGGUCGGAAGACUGAUAGUGCGACGCCGCGUGAACGAUGAAUCCCUUCGGGGUGUAAAGUCCUUUUAUAUGUGAGCAGUGCUUCUUAUAUUAACAGUAUGGGGAGAGAGAUAUUAGCAUAUGAAUAAGCAACGGCUAACUCCGUGCCAGCAGCCGCGGUAAUCUCG